rnacentral:rRNA from 3 species
CCAAGGAGUCUAACAUGUGCGCGAGUCGUCGGGUCUUGAAUAGGCCCGCAGGCGAAAUGAAAGUGAAGGGCGACCCAGUCGUCGUCUGCGUUGGGAUCCCCAGACCGUCGCGUCUGGGGCGCACCAACGGCCCGUCCCGUCCGCGUCGUCGGUGGGACGGAGCGAGAGCGUACACGUUGGGACCCGAAAGAUGGUGAACUAUGCCUGGGCAGGACGAGGCCAGAGGAAACUCUGGUGGAGGUCCGCAGCGAUUCUGACGUGCAAAUCGAUCGUCAGACCUGGGUAUAGGGGCGAAAGACUAAUCGAACCGUCUAGUAGCUGGUUCCCUCCGAAGUUUCCCUCAGGAUAGCUGGCGCUCGAGGGAGUCAGUCUCAUCCGGUAAAGCGAAUGAUUAGAGGCCUUGGGGCCGAAACGACCUCAACCUAUUCUCAAACUUUCAAUGGGUGAGAAGUCCGGUUUACAUGACUGAAGCCCGGACAAUUCUCAGGAUGCGAGUGCCCAGUGGGCCACUUUU